AGUGUUGACUUGAAACAGAUCGGUGUCUAUCUAUUGGGUGUCUUCGGCGGAAACGACUUGGACUAUGACAGUAGACGGAGUUCGUGAAUAGCACAUACGGACGGGGAGUGCGAUACUCCCCCGCCUCCACCAUAAACACACCGCCGGGAUUAAGCCGCUUUCCAGCGACGGACCCGGUAAGGAUCGCAACCCGGCAGGUAUGUCAGGUGUGUUUAUGAUGGGGGCGAAAUAGGAUCGACGUGGUGUGAAAGUGGGUUUUUGCUGUUCGGCAUGAUACCGCCGUUAUCGGGUCAAAAGUGUAGUUGCAAACGACAACAACGCUCAGGUUCGUGCUCUCGCUGCCUAACAGCAGUGCGGGAGAACCGCUCCAAGUCCUCUAGGUUAGCCCCUUGAGGCGGGGUCCCCGGUUACCUGGCAACAGAAAUACCGGAUU
rnacentral:tmRNA from 1 species